CCCUACGGGUGGCUGCAGUCGAGAAUCUUCGGCAAUGGGCGCAAGCCUGACCGAGCGACGCCGCGUGCGGGAUGAAGGCCUUCGGGUUGUAAACCGCUGUCAGAGGGGAUGAAAUGCAGGUGGGUUCUCCCAUCUGUUUGACAUAGCCUCAGAGGAAGGACGGGCUAAGUUCGUGCCAGCAGCCGCGGUAAGACGAACCGUCCAAACGUUAUUCGGAAUUACUGGGCUUAAAGGGUGCGUAGGCGGCGCGGAAAGUUGGGUGUGAAAUCCCUCGGCUCAACCGAGGAACUGCGCUCAAUACUGCCGUGCUCGAGGGAGAUAGAGGUGAGCGGAACUUAGGGUGGAGCGGUGAAAUGCGUUGAUAUCCUAAGGAACACCGGUGGCGAAAGCGGCUCACUGGAUCUCUUCUGACGCUGAGGCACGAAAGCUAGGGUAGCAAACGGGAUUAGAUACCCUAGUAGUC
rnacentral:rRNA from 1 species